UUUUUUAUUUAUUUUUUUGCAGAAUGAAUGUAUGAGUGUGUGUUGAUGUAUGACAAGACGGAAUCUGAAUUUGUGCAGCUCCAUCUUUCAAAUCCAGACAUACAAUUUAAAGGCACUGGACGAAAAGGUCAUAUUCAGUCUUCUGAGUGCUGACAAUCCAGAAAAAAAUAAAAUAACUUUAUUGCUCAGUAGCUGCUUCAUCAUUACUCAGGAGACCUAAUCGGGAUGUGUUUUUUUUCAUGCAGGACAAAUAGAGACUACUACUGUAAUGGUCAACAUUAAAACUGUCACCAUUGUGAUGUUUCAGAUUUAUGUGACUUUUCUUCAUGCAUGAUUAAAAUGCUCCUAACCACAGACUAAAAGCUGUUCCAACAAUACAGUUUGUGAUGCAAAUGUGUUGUAACUAUGGAUUCAGGAAGUAUGUUGGUAGUGACACAUGAAAACAUAAUGAUUUUGAGAAAUGUGAAUAAAAGAAUUUUUAACUUUUUAAUGAAAUAGUUUUAAUGUGGAUAAGACC
ensembl:processed_transcript